UACGUAGGGUGCGAGCGUUGUCCGGAAUUAUUGGGCGUAAAGGGCUCGUAGGCGGUCUGUUGCGUCGGGAGUGAAAACUCAGGGCUUAACCCUGAGCCUGCUUCCGAUACGGGCAGACUAGAGGUAUGCAGGGGAGAACGGAAUUCCUGGUGUAGCGGUGAAAUGCGCAGAUAUCAGGAGGAACACCGGUGGCGAAGGCGGCAUUCUGGACCAUAACUGACACUGAGAGACGAAAGCCAGGGGAGCAAACGGG
rnacentral:rRNA from 1 species